rnacentral:rRNA from 1 species
CGUUGUCCGGAAUUAUUGGGCGUAAAGGGCUCGUAGGCGGUUUGUCGCGUCGGGAGUGAAAUCCACUGGCUUAACUGGUGGCUUGCUUUCGAUACGGGCAGACUGGAGGUAUGCAGGGGAGAACGGAAUUCCUGGUGUAGCGGUGAAAUGCGCAGAUAUCAGGAGGAACACCGGUGGCGAAGGCGGUUCUCUGGGCAUGUCCUGACGCUGAGGAGCGAAAGUGUGGGGAGCGAACAGG